rnacentral:rRNA from 1 species
AGUGAACGCUGGCGGUAGGCCUAACACAUGCCAGUCGAACGGCAGCACAGUAAGAGCUUGCUCUUACGGGUGGCGAGUGGCGGACUGGUGAGGAAUACAUCGGAAUCUACUUUUUCGUGGGGGAUAACGUAGGGAAACUUACGCUAAUACCGCAUACGACCUACGGGUGAAAGCAGGGGAUCUUCGGACCUUGCGCGAUUGAAUGAGCCGAUGUCGGAUUAGCUAGUUGGCGGGGUAAAGGCCCACCAAGGCGACGAUCCGUAGCUGGUCUGAGAGGAUGAUCAGCCACACUGGAACUGAGACACGGUCCAGACUCCUACGGGAGGCAGCAGUGGGGAAUAUUGGACAAUGGGCGCAAGCCUGAUCCAGCCAUACCGCGUGGGUGAAGAAGGCCUUCGGGUUGUAAAGCCCUUUUGUUGGGAAAGAAAAGCAGCAGGUUAAUACCCCGCUGUUCUGACGGUACCCAAAGAAUAAGCACCGGCUAACUUCGUG